CAGUCGAACGGCAGCAUGAUCUAGCUUGCUAGAUUGAUGGCGAGUGGCGAACGGGUGAGUAAUACAUCGGAACGUGCCCUGUAGUGGGGGAUAACUAGUCGAAAGAUUAGCUAAUACCGCAUACGACCUGAGGGUGAAAGUGGGGGACCGCAAGGCCUCAUGCUAUNGGAGCGGCCGAUGUCUGAUUAGCUAGUUGGUGAGGUAAAGGCUCACCAAGGCGACGAUCAGUAGCUGGUCUGAGAGGACGAUCAGCCACACUGGGACUGAGACACGGCCCAGACUCCUACGGGAGGCAGCAGUGGGGAAUUUUGGACAAUGGGCGAAAGCCUGAUCCAGCAAUGCCGCGUGUGUGAAGAAGGCCUUCGGGUUGUAAAGCACUUUUGUCCGGAAAGAAAUGGCUCUGGUUAAUACCUGGGGUCGAUGACGGUACCGGAAGAAUAAGGACCGGCUAACUACGUGCCAGCAGCCGCGGUAAUACGUAGGGUCCAAGCGUUAAUCGGAAUUACUGGGCGUAAAGCGUGCGCAGGCGGUUGUGCAAGACCGAUGUGAAAUCCCCGAGCUUAACUUGGGAAUUGCAUUGGUGACUGCACGGCUAGAGUGUGUCAGAGGGGGGUAGAAUUCCACGUGUAGCAGUGAAAUGCGUAGAGAUGUGGAGGAAUACCGAUGGCGAAGGCAGCCCCCUGGGAUAACACUGACGCUCAUGCACGAAAGCGUGGGGAGCAAACAGGAUUAGAUACCCUGGCUAGUCCACGCCCUAAACGAUGUCACUAGGUUGUUGGGGAUUCAUUUCCUUAACUAACGUAGCUAACGCGUGACGUCUGACCGCCUGGGGGGAGAUACGGUCGCAAUGAAUUAAAAACCUCCAUAG
rnacentral:rRNA from 1 species